rnacentral:ncRNA from 1 species
UUAGUUUCUUUUAUGUCCUGGCAACCGAAAGGAAACUUUUGAGAAGCUGGGUUAUACGCUCUUUUACGAGGGCAACUUAGUUGUCAUAAAAUACAACCAUAACCCCUAAUGUGUGAAAUGGUGGUGAGAACCAAUAAGUGAAAGAGCUAUGCUCU